UCCACGCUUCUGACUGUGCAAGCUGGAGAAACACCACUCUGGGGUGUGACUGACAACUUAAGAAAGUUAACGGAUUCAUGGUAUGCCCAAGUUUGAAGAACUGAGAAACUUCAUAGCUCUACAACCGUCCUCUGGAAUAAAGCAUAUAUUUUCUUGAAA